rnacentral:rRNA from 1 species
UACGUAGGGUGCAAGCGUUAAUCGGAAUUACUGGGCGUAAAGCGCACGUAGGCGGCUUUGUAAGUUAGAGGUGAAAGCCCGGAGCUCAACUCCAGAACUGCCUUUGAUACUGGCGAUCUUGAGUCCGGGAGAGGUGAGUGGAACUGCGAGUGUAGAGGUGAAAUUCGUAGAUAUUCGCAAGAACACCAGUGGCGAAGGCGGCUCACUGGCCCGGUACUGACGCUGAGGUGCGAAAGCGUGGGGAGCAAACAGG